ACCGUUACUACAUAUGUAAGUGGAUAUUCAUGUGCAUAUUUUAGUGCGCUGCAUAUACAUACAUAAUUUACUCAAAUAAGCAAGGAGAAUAAAAUGGAGAUGAUAUAUAGAAGCAAAUUAAAAGCGUAACAAAAUUUACAAUCGAAUUAAAUAUGUAGCAUUUGCAUAGCUAUAAAUACAUGUAUAUUCGGCAUUUACUUAUACUACGAGUUUACGAAUUCAUCAACUGCCCCAACUACUAACUGCGCCGGUAGACUAGUAAACAAAAAACGAUAUUGAACUUGACGUGACACAACGCUCAUGUUGACGAAUUACCUUGUUUUGGCGUAGAUAUAAUAAACGAUGAGAACCACCGAUGCCAACUCAACACAACCGAUGCAAAAUCACACGAUCGCUCUAAUUAAACACUUAUUUAUAUAUAUAUAGUAUCUACUGCGCCGCUAUACUCUCUUUCAUUGAUAAGGCCAACGGCUGAUGAUGAGCGGGCGACGUAUGAUCUCUGACGUACUGUGUUGGUGGCUGCUGGAAAAAUAUCAUACGAGGGAUUCACUUGUACUGUCUGUAUAAGCAUAUAAAACGAAUGCAACAUGCAUGUAUUAAUUGACAACCCGUCAGUUAAACAGACAAUCGAAUUACGCGUUCACUAUUCUUCACAUAAAUCCAUACAAAUGUACAUAUGUAUAUCAUUCGAAUUACUUUGAUAUUAUACACUUAAUGAUGCCGCCAUACUAUCGAUAAUAUGUGAUAAAAUUAACUAUGCUGCGAGAGCAACUACUGUGUGAAUACAAGCGACCAAAUGAUUUCAACAAACAAGAAGAGUAGCUAUUAUUUCUGCAACUGUCCACACCGGCGAAAUGUUGACGACUGUUAUUAUGGUGAAACUGUCGCUCGAUGUUCAGUAUUUCUGUAUUUUAAUUAAAUCUCAAUUGGCGCACCGCCGACCUUUUCUCGGGCGAAUGGGAGCGUAAGCUUUGCACUCAGUUCUAAUCACUAGCGAAGAAGUGGGAGAACUGUAAAUCAUAAGAUAGCAUGAUAAUAAACAAUGAGCCUAUUGCCCUUAGGUUCGAGCUUCAUAAAUAGUAAGAGCGGAAAUAGUUUUUUAGACAAAUGCAUACAAAAAUAAACAUAUCUACAAAG